UGGGGAAUUUUGGACAAUGGGCGAAAGCCUGAUCCAGCCAUGCCGCGUGAGUGAAGAAGGCCUUCGGGUUGUAAAGCUCUUUUAGUCGGAAAGAAAGAGUUGCAAUGAAUAAUUGUGAUUUAUGACGGUACCGACAGAAAAAGCACCGGCUAACUAAGUGCCAGCAGCCGCGGUAAUACGUAGGGUGCGAGCGUUAAUCGGAAUUACUGGGCGUAAAGGGUGCGCAGGCGGUCUUGCAAGUCAGAUGUGAAAGCCCCGGGCUUAAUCUGGGAAUUUCGUUUGAAACUACAAGACUAGAGUGCAGCAGAGGGGAGUGGAAUUCCAUGUGUAGCAGUGAAAUGCGUAGAGAUGUGGAAGAACACCUAUGGCGAAGGCAGCUCCCUGGGUUGACACUGACGCUCAUGCACGAAAG
rnacentral:rRNA from 1 species